rnacentral:rRNA from 1 species
GAUCUGCCUGGUAGUGGGGGAUAACGUUCGGAAACGGACGCUAAUACCGCAUACGUCCUACGGGAGAAAGCAGGGGACCUUCGGGCCUUGCGCUAUCAAAUGAGCCUAGGUCGGAUUAGCUAGUUGGUGGGGUAAUGGCUCACCAAGGCGACGAUCCGUAACUGGUCUGAGAGGAUGAUCAGUCACACUGGAACUGAGACACGGUCCACACUCCUACGGGAGGCAGCAGUGGGGAAUAUUGGACAAUGGGCGAAAGCCUGAUCCAGCCAUGCCGCGUGUGUGAAGAAGGUCUUCGGAUUGUAAAGCACUUUAAGUUGGGAGGAAGGGCCAUUACCUAAUACGUGAUGGUUUUGACGUUACCGACAGAAUAAGCACCGGCUAACUCUGUGCCAGCAGCCGCGGUAAUACAGAAGGUGCAAGCGUUAAUCGGAAUUACUGGGCGUAAAGCGCGCGUAGU